rnacentral:other from 1 species
GGCCCCGUCCGGAGUUUGCCGAGAUUCUUGACUAACACUUUUUGUAUGGGAAUUCAUCUUUGGGCAUCUAGUGCAGGCCGCCCACGCAGGCGGAGCGCGAAGUGCCCAAGCGAACAACCACCGCAGUGCCUAAGAGUUCAAGAAAUCGGCUCCGGGCGGGGCUU